GGGGCUGGGUGGCAGUGUUCCACAUCAGUAGAACACUACUUAAUUUGUCUUUACAAAUUCUCGGAACUUAAGUAUGGGUGACGGCCUGCUUUUCGACAUAGAAGAAUACCAUAAGGAAAUGCUGUGCAUACCUCGACUGCUCUUCCUUUGGGUCGCCUGUUCUCUGUAUGUGUUUGGUCCAACAUAUAACUAAGAGUGCGUACCUCGACUAAGAGCCGUCUACCCAUGCUGGUGGAGGUGGUGGUCUAGCGAAGAAAGCUAGAAACUAAGUUACCCUGCGCCUGCAGAGAUGCUACUCCUUAAGGUCUCUGUUGCCGAAUGUCUCAUUGUUGAUGUAUAUUGAGACCAGCUACCUCUGCCUUUUAGAAUCGGUGUUGGUUACACAAAACUCAUCAGGUUAUUGACGCGUGUUUCCAAACUGAUCGAAACUUAUGUAUUUAGUACUAUUUACAUGUGAUCAAAACUUAUGUAUUGAAUGCGGUGUGAAUUUCUAUAUUGCUUCCCAUGUGUGCUUCA